rnacentral:rRNA from 1 species
GCGCGGGUUAUACCGCGUGGAGGACCGAACCCACUUGGGUUGAAAACCGAGGGGAUGACUUGUGGGGAGGAGUGAAAGUCUAAUCAAACCUGGAGAUAUCUCGUUCUCUCCGAAAUAGCUUUAGGGCUAGCCUUGAGCCACUACGUACCGGGGGUAGAGAGACUGAAUCGAUUUGGGGCCCUUCCCGGGGUACCCUGUCGGACCAAACUCCGAAUACCGGUGCGACUAUCUCAGGAGUCAGUCCGCGAGGGAUAAGCUUCGCGGUCGAGAGGGAAACAACCCAGACCGUCUGCUAAGGUCCCCAAGAGAUGCUCAGUCACUAAGGAAGUUGAAUUGCCGAGACAACCAGGAUGUUGGCUUAGAAGCAGCCACCAUUUAAAAAGUGCGUAACAGCUUACUGGUCGAGCAAUUCUGCGCCGAUAAUGAACGGGAGUAAGCAUUUCACCGAAGCAGCGGAUUCGAAAGAAUGGUAGGAGAGCGCCGAUCGUCAGAUACGAGCCGUACCGUAAGGAGCGGUGUUGGGGCGAUCGGGUGAUUAUGCCGGAAUGAGUAACGAUAAAACAGGUGAGAAUCCUGUUCGCCGAAAGCCUAAGGUUUCCUGGGGAAGGCAAUUCCGCCCAGGGUUAGCCGGUCCCUUAGUCGAGGCUGAAAAGCGUAGACGAUGGACAGCAGGUCAAUAUUCCUGCGCUACGGUUGUGGACUGAUGGAGGGACGGCGUUUCAAAGGUGAUCGGACUGGUGGAACAGUCCGUGGGCUCUAGCAAGGUGAGGAAUAGGCAAAUCCGUCCUCAUAAGCCAAGUUAGAGCGCUGACUCUUCGGAGGUAAUCAUCAGCGGGACGUCCAAGAAAAGCUUCUAAAGGUUGAAGCAACUGUAACCGUACUAAAACUGACACAGGUAGGCGGGUCGAGAAGACCAAGGCGCUCGGGAGAACGGUGGUUAAGGAACUCUGCAAAAUGACCCCGUAAGUUCGCGAUAAGGGGUGCCCCUGGCGGUUCACGCUGCUGGGGGCCACAGUAAAUCGGCUCUGGCAACUGUUUAUCAAAAACACAGGACCCUGCCAACUCGCAAGAGGAUGUAUAGGGUCUGACGCCUGCCCGGUGCCGGUAGG